CCUACGGGAGGCAGCAGUGAGGAAUAUUGGUCAAUGGGCGCUAGCCUGAACCAGCCAAGUAGCGUGAAGGAUGACUGCCCUAUGGGUUGUAAACUUCUUUUAUAUGGGAAUAAAGUGCAGUAUGUAUACUGCGUUGCAUGUACCUUAUGAAUAAGGAGCGGCUAACUCCGGGCCAGCAGCCGCGGUAAUACGGAGGAUCCGAGCGUUAUCCGGAUUCACUGGGUGUAAAGGGAGCGUAGACGGCCAUGCCAGCCAGGGGUGAAAGCCCGGGGCCCACCCCCGGGACUGCCCUUGGAACUGGGCGGCUAGAGUGCGGGAGGGGCAGGCGGCAUUCCUGGUGUAGCGGUGAAAUGCGUAGAUAUCAGGAGGAACACCGGCGGCGAAGGCGGCCUGCUGGACUGCGACUGACGUUGAGGCUCGAAAGCGUGGGGAGCGAACAGGAUUAGAUACCCCUGUAGUC
rnacentral:rRNA from 1 species